AGUGAACGCUGGUGGUAGGCCUAACACAUGCAAGUCGAACGGCAGCACAGUAAGAGCUUGCUCUUACGGGUGGCGAGUGGCGGACGGGUGAGGAAUACAUCGGAAUCUACUUUUUCGUGGGGGAUAACGUAGGGAAACUUACGCUAAUACCGCAUACGACCUACGGGUGAAAGCAGGGGAUCUUCGGACCUUGCGCGAUUGAAUGAGCCGAUGUCGGAUUAGCUAGUUGGCGGGGUAAAGGCCCACCAAGGCGACGAUCCGUAGCUGGUCUGAGAGGAUGAUCAGCCACACUGGAACUGAUACACGGUCCAGACUCCUACGGGAGGCAGCAGUGGGGAAUAUUAGACAAUGGGCGCAAGCCUGAUCCAGCGAUACCGCGUGGGUGAAGAAGGCCUUCGGGUUGUAAAGCCCUUUUGUUGGGAAAGAAAAGCAGCAGGUUAAUACCCCGCUGUUCUGACGGUACCCAAAGAAUAAGCACGGGCUAGCUUCGUG
rnacentral:rRNA from 1 species